AGAGUUUGAUCCUGGCUCAGGACGAACGCUGGCGGCGUGCUUAACACAUGCAAGUCGAGCGGUAAGGCCCUUCGGGGUACACGAGCGGCGAACGGGUGAGUAACACGUGAGUAAUCUGCCCUUCACUCUGGGAUAAGCACUCGAAAGGGUGUCUAAUACCGGAUACGACCAGUCCCUGCAUGGGGUGCUGGUGGAAACUUUUGUGGGUGGGGGAUGUGCUCGCGGCCUAUCAGCUUGUUGGUGGGGUAAUGGCCUACCAAGGCUUCGACGGGUAGCCGGCCUGAGAGGGUGACCGGCCACACUGGGACUGAGACACGGCCCAGACUCCUACGGGAGGCAGCAGUGGGGAAUAUUGGACAAUGGGCGGAAGCCUGAUCCAGCAACGCCGCGUGAGGGAUGACGGCCUUCGGGUUGUAAACCUCUUUCAGUAUCGACGAAGCGCCCGUGUGGGUGGUGACGGUAGGUACAGAAGAAGCACCGGCCAACUACGUGCCAGCAGCCGCGGUAAUACGUAGGGUGCGAGCGUUGUCCGGAAUUAUUGGGCGUAAAGGGCUCGUAGGCGGUUUGUCGCGUCGGGAGUGAAAACACUGGGCUUAACCGAGUGCUUGCUUCCGAUACGGGCAGACUUGAGGCAUUGAGGGGAGAACAGAAUUCCUGGUGUAGCGGUGAAAUGCGCAGAUAUCAGGAGGAACACCGGUGGCGAAGGCGGUUCUCUGGCAAUGUUCUGACGCUGAGGAGCGAAAGUGUGGGGAGCGAACAGGAUUAGAUACCCUAGUAGUCC
rnacentral:rRNA from 1 species